rnacentral:snRNA from 1 species
AUCGCUUCUCUCGCCUAUUUGGCUCAUAUCAAGUGUAGUAUCUGUUCUUAUCAGUUUAAUAUCGAUACGUCCCCCAUCGGGGGAUACUAUAAAUGGAUUUUUCGAACAGGGAGUCGGAAAUGGGGCUUGCUCCGUCCGCUCAACGCAUCGACCCGGUAUGCGUACCUCCGGGAACGGUGCACACAUU